rnacentral:rRNA from 1 species
UACGAAGGGGGCUAGCGUUGUUCGGAAUUACUGGGCGUAAAGCGCACGUAGGCGGAUACUUAAGUCAGGGGUGAAAUCCCGGGGCUCAACCCCGGAACUGCCUUUGAUACUGGGUAUCUCGAGUCCGGAAGAGGUGAGUGGAAUUCCGAGUGUAGAGGUGAAAUUCGUAGAUAUUCGGAGGAACACCAGUGGCGAAGGCGGCUCACUGGUCCGGUACUGACGCUGAGGUGCGAAAGCGUGGGUAGCGAACGGG